rnacentral:tRNA from 1 species
GCGGGUGUGGCGGAACUGGUAGACGCACUGGAUUUAGGUUCCAGCGCCGCAAGGCGUGGAGGUUCGAGUCCUCUCGCCCGCA